rnacentral:rRNA from 1 species
UACGGGGGGGGCAAGCGUUGUUCGGAAUUACUGGGCGUAAAGGGUUCGUAGGUGGCCAACUAAGUCAGACGUGAAAUCCCUCAGCUUAACUGGGGAACUGCGUCUGAUACUGGUUGGCUUGAGUGCAGGAGAGGAACGCGGAAUUCCAGGUGUAGCGGUGAAAUGCGUAGAUAUCUGGAGGAACACCGGUGGCGAAGGCGGCGUCCUGGACCAACACUGACACUGAGGAGCGAAAGCCAGGGGAGCAAACGGG